GCACAAUGGAGGAAACUCUGAUGCAGCAACGCCGCGUGGAGGAUGACGCAUUUCGGUGUGUAAACUCCUUUUAUAUGGGAAGAUAAUGACGGUACCAUAUGAAUAAGCACCGGCUAACUCCGUGCCAGCAGCCGCGG
rnacentral:rRNA from 1 species